rnacentral:rRNA from 1 species
UACGUAGGAGGCAAGCGUUGUCCGGAAUUACUGGGCGUAAAGCGCGUGUAGGUGGUGGGACAAGUCUGCUGUGAAAGCGCCUGGCUUAACCGGGCGAGGUCGGCGGAAACUGUCCGACUCGAGGACGGUAGAGGGGGGGUGGAAUUCCCGGUGUAGUGGUGAAAUGCGUAGAGAUCGGGAGGAACACCUGUGGCGAAGGCGGCCCCCUGGGCCGGCCCUGACACUGAGACGCGAAGGCGUGGGGAGCGAACGGG